UGAGUCCCGUUCCUCUCUUUGGUGGU
rnacentral:piRNA from 1 species